GAUGAACGCUAGCGGCAGGCCUAACACAUGCAAGUCGAGGGAGAAGCCCUUUCGGGGGCCGACACCGGCGCACGGGUGCGUAACUCGUAUGCAACCUACCUUUCACAGGGGGAUAGCCCGAAGAAAUUUGGAUUAAUACCCCAUAAUAUUAUUGGAUGGCAUCAUUUGAUAAUUAAAACUGCGGUGGUGAAAGAUGGGCAUGCGUCCUAUUAGCUAGUUGGAGUGGUAACGGCACCCCAAGGCUACGAUAGGUAGGGGUCCUGAGAGGGAGAUCCCCCACACUGGUACUGAGACAGGGACCAGAAUGCGACGGGAGGCAGCAGUGAGGAAGAUUGGGCAAUGGUCGGAAGACUGAACCAGCCAUGCCGCGUGCAGGAAGAAUGCCUUAUGGGUUGUAAACUGCUUUUAUAUGGGAAGAAUAAGGCGUACGUGUACGGUGAUGACGGUACCAUAUGAAUAAGCACCGGCUAACUCCGUG
rnacentral:rRNA from 1 species